rnacentral:rRNA from 1 species
GCGUAACGCGUAUGCAACCUACCCACAACUGGGGGAUAGCCCGGAGAAAUCCGGAUUAAUACCCCAUAAUGCAUUGAUACCGCAUGGUAUUAAUUGCUAAAGAUUUAUCGGUUGUGGAUGGGCAUGCGUCUGAUUAGUUAGUUGGUGAGGUAACGGCUCACCAAGGCAACGAUCAGUAGGGGGUCUGAGAGGAUGAUCCCCCACACUGGUACUGAGAUACGGACCAG